AUGGCAGCGUCAUAGGACUGCAACCACCAGCCCCAUCCUUCCCCCCCACAUCCCCUCCCCUCCUCAGCGCUGCGUGGGAAAUGGUUGGGGUGGGAUUCUGGGAGAGCUGGGGCGGCUUGGCCUGCAGAAGAGGAGGCUCAGGGGGAUCCCAGGCACGGCCAUCAGCCCCUGCAGGGAGGUGCAGAGAGGACGGAGCCGGGCUGCACCCAGCAGUGCCCAGCAGCAGGACCAGAGGCACUGGGCACACACUGCAGCACAGCAGGUUUCCCUGUAUGACACCUCUGAGCCCCCACAUUGGGUCAGUGUCAUUGGCUAUUUUUGCCAAUGGUCACGAUGCAGGAGUUGAGUGCAUCCUUGUGAAAUCCACCAGGUAUCCUAAGGCACGAGGUGCUGCUGGCACUCCUGAGGUUUUUAAGGGGCAGCAGGGAGAACUGGAGGGCUCAGGGCAGUAGCUGGGGGCUCUUGGAGGCACUUUGAGGUGCUGCGGGUUCAGAAUUGUGUUUUUCCUCCCGUUUCACACAGAAGGUGGCAGUUUGGCUCAGUUCCUCGAGGUGGCAGCAGGACCCCCAACAACAGAAAUGUCUGCUGCCCAGAGCCCCAUGUAUAGCUGUGAGAAUGAUGGAGGGUGUACUAAACGUAGCACAUGCACAGGGCUUAUGAUUACCGUGACACAGGGAUGACAUAUUCGUAUAGCCUUUCUAUUAUGGUGCCAGAUAGUAUUUCAGCGUUAGAGAGAGAUGAAUCGUCGGAGAGUAUUCCAUCGUAGUUUAAGCCUAAGAGGGCACCAUCCUAUAACAAAAUACAGAGUGAGCCUUAAACGUUGUCAUUCAAUUUAGAUCCCUAAAGCAAAGCAAAGCAAAACAAACAUGCAAACACAGCAGCUCCUCUCCUCCCCCUAAAAUAAUGGGUGAAAGUCUCCCACCUGCCGCCUUUCACAAAUUGCACGGCCGUUUUAUGGAAAACAGUCAGUUAAAUUGCAAACUAAACUGAACUCCUAUUUUCUAUAAUUAUGAGACGUACUGUGAGUCCAGAAGGAAAAUCCCUACUGCAGAGACGCACAAAAGCACGGAGCAUUUGUGCUGCUCUUCUCAAGAGGAGCAUUUCCAAAAGAGGGCACCAGGUACAUGCUUUUAAACUGCAUUCCUACUGCUUUCUUGAGCCUAUUUCCCCCUCCUUUCCCCACGACUUCCUCCACAACGGGUACGGACCACCCUAAAUGGAAAGUACUCACAUUUUGGCUGUCGUAUGUUGUGCUUUUCGACACCAAAACCUGCCUUUCCUUUGUGCUGGAAUAAUCUCCUUUUUAUUACAAUUGGCCGUGUGACAGGGAGUCAUUGCUAUUUCACCGUGUUACUGCAUUCACACCCACAGCUGAGCAGCAUAGAUAUGGCUUUACUGUUGGGUUCCUGACUGCUCAGCCAGUUUUGUUCUCCCUGGCUUCUCCCUGACUCAGAAGAGUCAUAGACAUGUUAGAGCUUAGAGUUCCUUUUUUUUCCUGUACUGUAGGGCUUGGCCUCCAGUUUUGGCUUUGUUUAUAUCACAAGGUGUCAGAUAGCAAAUUAAGUUCAAGGCAGUGCAGCUGAUGCACUGGGACAGCAGCAACAUUCCUUAUGGUUGCUAGCCAACCUAGGAAAAGUUACCCUCUCCUGUGCAGAUCCUAUACAGCCUUCCCACAACCCCUAAGGCCUCUUCCAAGAGUUUGGAACUCAAGCCCAGCCUCUUCCAAAUGCUGAAAGAAAAAACAACAGCUGUUAAAUUUCCUUUAUGUUUCUUGCAUCUUAUAGUACAUAUGGUUUAGAAAACACUACGACAAGCUUAAUAUGGAAUGGUCUUCCUAGCCUCAAGCAGCAGAAGUAACUUCUCCCAGUUAGGCAGGGAAUUAUCCAUUUUUCCUAUAUAAGAAAAACAAGAAUGUUUGCAUGGUAACAGAAUGUUUACAAUCUGACAUCCACAUCCACUGUAAAUCCACCGUGUUCAAACAGCAGUCAGAUAACACAAACGAGAAAGAAGCAUGAAAGUGGAGGAGUCUGUGUAGAAGUGGUGGUACUUAGGAGGAAGGCACGGUCUGUCUUUAUGCUUUGUGGAUACAAUCAGAUCAGAAAGCAUUGUGCUUUAUGGCACAGUUUCCUUGGCCAAAGGAUGCUUUGGCAGCAGAGGUUUGCUGUGAGGAGGCAUUAGAGCACUGAAGAAAAGGCUGCUGUGCACUGGGCCCAGAGACAUCAGCUCACAGCACGUCACUGGUGAUGGAUAUCUGCAAGCUUUGUGUCUGUCAGUGACUGCUCUGAAGGCUUUGUAGUCAGCUGUCCGUGGCUGUUUUGCUUUUUAGGGUGUAGGAAGAGAUGACAACACACCAAUUGGAGUGAUGGUGUCCUACUCGGAAAUGGAUGUGCUGGAUGGCAGAAGAGGAUUCUUGGCCAAGUAUGGAAUCAUCUCUGUUCCUUCACAAAGGAACAAAACAAGGCAACAGAGAGGUUGACAGCAGCGAUGGUGAUGGAGAUGUUCAGACUGGAGGAGCUCUUGGCUCGCUGCAGCCACCCCGGCAUCCCCAGAGGUGGGCACGGGGACCUGGGGGGGCUUUGGUGCUGCACAAACGACUGCAGGCAGAGGUGUAGGAAAGUGAACGCCAAGCAUUUAAUAAUUGAACGUACAAAACAGCAAAUAAAUGACGAUAGAUAUUCCCAA